rnacentral:rRNA from 1 species
AACUCCCGAGAGACCGAUAGUGAACCAGUACCGUGAGGGAAAGGUGAAAAGAACCCCGAGCAGGGGAGUGAAAUAGAACCUGAAACCAUACGCUUACAACCUGUCGGAGCAGCUUCGUGCUGUGACGGCGUGCCUAUUGAAUAAUGAGCCUACGAGUUACUAAUCACUGGCAAGGUUAAGUGCAUGAAUGCACGGAGCCGAAGCGAAAGCGAGUCUGAACAGGGCGCUUAGUCAGUGGUUGUAGACGCGAAACCUUGCGAUCUACCCUUGAGCAGGUUGAAGGUUGGGUAAAACCAACUGGAGGACCGAACGAAUAAGCGUUGAAAAGCUUCUGGAUGAUCUGAGGGUAGGGGUGAAAGGCUAAUCAAGCUGGGAAAUAGCUCGUACUCCCCGAAAUGCCUUUAGGGGCAGCGUUGUAAUUAAGAGUCUACUGGAGGUAGAGCUACUGAUUGGAUGCGGGGGCUUCACCGCCUACCAAAUCCUGACAAACUCCGAAUGCCAGUAGUAUGAUUUACAGCAGUGAGCGACCGGGUGCUAAUGUCCGGUUACGAGAGUGGAACAACACAGACCAGCAACUAAGGUCCCGAAGAGUAUACUAAGUUGAUCUAACGAUGUUUUGCUGCAGAGACAGCUAGGAUGUUAGCUUGGAAGCAGCUAUUCAUUCAAAGAGUGCGUAACAGCUCACUAGUCGAGCGGCAAAGCGUGGAUAAUAAACGGGCAUCAAGUAUACCACCGAAGUUCUGGGCACGAGAGUGCGGUAGGGGAGCAUUCCAUUGACGUCGAAGCCAUUCCGUGAGGAUAGGUGGAGUUUAUGGAAAAGCAAAUGUAGGCAUGAGUAACGAUAAUGCGGGAGAGUAACCCGCACACCGCAAGACCAAGGUUUCCUGAUCAACGCUAAUCGGAUCAGGGUUAGUCGGGUCCUAAGGGUAAGCCGAACGGUGAUCUCGAUGGAUAAUCGGUUAAUAUUCCGAUACUGACAUAUACCUCGAUGGAGAGACGAAGGAACGUAAGUGACGCCGCCUGACGGAAUAGGUGGUUAAAGGGCUUAGGUAUAGGGACAGAUUAAGAGUUAGUCCUUGCUGAAACCUGACAGUACGGAGCGGCUACGGCCAAUCUGAUAGUUCACCCAAGUAGACUUCCAAGAAAAUCUUCUAAGUUUAAGUAUAUGUUACCCGUACCGUAAACCGACACAGGUGGUCGAGGAGAGUAUCCUAAGGUGCUCGAGUGAAUCACGGUUAAGGAACUAGGCAAAUUGACCCCGUAACUUCGGGAUAAGGGGUCCCUACGCGAGUAGGGCGCAGCGAAGAGGUCCAGGCGACUGUUUAUCAAAAACACAGGGCUCUGCAAAUUCGAAAGAAGACGUAUAGGGCCUGACACCUGCCCGGUGCUGGAAGGUUAAGAGGGGAUGUCAUCGCAAGAGAAGCAUUGAAUCGAAGCCCCAGUAAACGGCGGCCGUAACUAUAACGGUCCUAAGGUAGCGAAAUUCCUUGUCGGGUAAGUUCCGAC